AGCACCAUCAGGGACUGGGACCUCUCCAGCCAUUUCUUCCUGCUGUGAUGCUCUAACUCCUCUCUCCCCACCAGGAGCCUGGGAUUGCUGAGCCUUGAUUUGUCCCAGGGAUGCUGCCUCGUGCGAUGCUGAAGGAGCCGGAGCAUUCUCCUGCUUGGUGCAGCCCCUUGCCCGCCCGCCCCGAGCCUGGUGAUGCUCUGGGGGCUGCAGCCCACCCUCACCUUGCACUCGGCUGCCCUUCAAAUUACUGCAUACAGCAAUUCUCUUCUGCUUGAGCGUCCGCCAGCAGGUCCCCAGGAGGUGAUGCUUUGGAGACAGCUCCGGAAGCUUGGUCAUGAACCCGUGAUGACCAACAGCUUUCUGAUGGUGGUGGAGGUAGGGAAUCUUCUUCUAUGGAGCAAAGCCCACAUUGGGGCUGGAUGUUUGUGGCUUUCAGUGAUGUUUUGCUGUCUUGGGUGCACUUGAGCUGCCUCCUGCAGCCGUGGCCAGGGAGAGAAACCUGUGUGACGAAGUAAAGUGAGAUCCUGGGGUGCGUUCAGGCUUUUUAGCUGCAGUCAGGGCCGUUGGGGCUCUGUCGGUUGCUGCCUCAGAGGUGCCUGAUCCAUCAACACCUCUGACAGCUCAACGUUUUGCUGUGGGUCUCCCUUGCACUUCAAGCCAUGACUUUGCUUGAUGGUUCACCCCCCCCCCCCCCCGGUUUGGUCUGGGACUGGUACCCAAAGUGAGAGCACUGCCAGCAGUGCUGCAUCCCCAGCCUAAAUCCCUGUAUCAUGAAGCUGCCUGGCCAAAGAUACCCAGAUUGAGUCUGCCCAGUGCAGGGGACAGCGACAACCCCUUUGUCCCCACCCCAGCUCACCCACCCGGCUAUUAUGGGUUCUCACAGAUCACUUGGCACGGGGCCGUGGUGUGGUAUGGCCGGGUUUGCACUGUAACCUCUUAUUACAAAACCCUCAGCGCUCCUCGGGAUUGUUUCGCCUGUUAUCAUCUUUCCCACAAUGCGCUUGCAUGAUCCUCUCUCAGACUUAACCACAUGGCAACCACAUCACAUAAUGCAACUUCUGUUCUGAGAUUAUUCAUAUUUCCCCCCCCUCCCCAUUGUUGCUUUGCCAAGUUUUUCUUCUCAUUCUGAGAAGCUGCAUUUAAAAGAGCAGUGUCUCCGGUGCAAGGACAUGCUUAGGAGGCAGCGUGAGCAAAUCAACUCGACAAGUGUGUUCACAGGAGUCAAACCGGGGGGGGGGGGGGGGGGGGAGCUGUGAAAAAGCAAAACAAAAGCCCCUCCAAAUGUCUAUUUUUAUUUUAUUUGGUUCCCUGGAAUGUCUCAUCACAUGGAAUAACAAUGCAUCCCGGCACGGAGACUGCAGACAGGCUCCACUGAAAGGGCAGCUGAGGGAAAGAUUGCUUUAUAAGUAGGUUUUUAUAUGCAAUCUAUCACCAGUGCCAGCUCCCAGCAGAACAGGGUAAACGACAAAGAAAGGGCUGUGCUAACUGGAGUGUGUGUUUGCAGUCGUGCUGCUGAGGAGAGCUGCCUGUGUCCCCAUAUCCCUGUGUCCCCAUAUCCCUUGUGACACGGAAGGGAUGGGGCCUGGGUACUGCUCUGGCUCCAGCUCCGGCUUCCAGGGGAGGAUGCAAACGGCUCAGAUCUGGUUCAGAGGGGAGGGAGAGCAAGUGAGGUCUGGGAAAUGUGAUUGCUGUGAAGCUGGGGAGGAAUGAGGUUGUUUAGUCUGGAAAAGAGAAGAUGUCUGGAGAAAGAAGCGUUUUCUGGCCCUUUGGCUGCACAGGGGCUGUGGCAAAGAGGAAGGGGCUGAUGCUGCUCCUGGGCCCUGGGCCACCAGGAGCUGCUGUGGCCAAGCCCUGGCCUUGGGGCUGCAAAACCCCAUCAGUCUGAAGAGCACUGGGACAAUGGGGAAGUGCACCAAAACCCCAGCGUUUCUGCCCAAAGCUUCCCAUGUGUGGCAGCCACCAAGGCACUGCCCGCUUCCAGGCACCAUUCCCCAUGUCAGUGCUCAGAAGGGACAGAAGAUGGUGAGCAUUUCUGCCCUGCCCUCGUGUAGCUCAAUGUUGUACCGAAAAUUAGCACUUCCCAAUUAAUUUCCCUGGGAGCAGCCAGCUGAUGCGCUGGUGCUCCGCUUGAGUGCCCUCAGUGGGAUGUGGGGAAGGCAGCACCUGCAGCCCCAGCGCACAGGGGCUGAAGCAUCCUUUCUGGGAUGGACAUUUCCAUCCCAGGUUUUGCUUCGACUCGACGUUUAAACAUUGUGAGCACACACGAGCUGCUGUGACACGUCCUGGCCCAGCAGCCUCCAUGGAACUGCUGCCAUCAGAAACACCAGUAGGUGCUCUGCGUGCGUACCAGCAGUGCAGAUGGAGAGGGACCGUCCUUCCUGAAACACCUUCAGCCUCAGACCCUUUUUGUUCCUGUUGCUCUGGAGCUGGCUCUGUUUUAGGACCCAGAAUUUCCACUUUGCAUCUUUUUCCUUACAACCCUCCCCCCCCUUCAUCUUUUCCUUCCUUUCUGCAUCUUUUCAUUCUUGAGUCAUGAGCCGUACAGGCCAGUUUAGCAUAAGAAAUGAAAUUAAUUCUCAGGCUCAGGCUCCAAAUGUAAAUUCGUUUAUUAAUAAUUUAAAUAGAUUUAUUUAU